CCCUUAGAUGUUCUGGGCCGCACGCGCGCUACAAUGGUCUUCGCAAACGGAUGCAUUCUCGAAGGAGAAUGCCAAUCUUGGAAUCUAUGCCUUGGUCGGGACAGUUGCUUGCAAUUUUUCGACUCGAACCAGGAAUUCCUUGUAAUCGUGAUUCAUCACAUCACGAUGAAUACGUCCCUGCCCUUUGUACACACCGCCCGUCGCUCCUACCGAUCGAAGAGUUAGGUGAAUUGUUUUGAUCGAUAAGAUUUGACUAUGGUCAGCUCUCGUUGUGAAAUUCUGUGAAUCUGACUGUUUAGAGGAAGGAAAAGUCGUAACA
rnacentral:rRNA from 1 species